UCUUCUUCCUGCUGGCACCAAGUUGUUACCUUAUUGGUACAGAAAUAUUUUACAUAAAUCAAAACUAUAUAUGUGAAAUUCAUGCUGUAAUUCAGGUGGGAUAACAAACAAAAACAAAAAAAAAAUCACCAAAGGGUAAAACCGGAAAUGGAAUUACGUCACUUCCUGUUCGUCAGUUGGUCUCCUGCUUUGAAAUUGAGGCAAUCGUUUUCAGCCGGAUGGUUACCCCCUGUGCUAGUGGAAGAUGUGACUUUGAAGACAGUCAUUGUAAAAGGUGCAAAAGGCUUGUCUAAGAUAAGCUGGCAGUCUACACCGCAUGGCCUGCGUUGCUGACAUUAAGUGAAGUUAAUGCAGAGUUCCUGUGCCUGACAGAUACUUGAGGAAGCAUCUUGGAGGUUGUCAAGGAGAAGGGAGGCGUUGCCAGAAGGAAGGACUGGAGUGGCGAAGUGAUCCAAAGGCAGACUGCACAUCUACGUAUAUGGUUUGCAAGGAACAUCCCGUGCCAGAGACUGUGAUACAAGGCAUGGAGCUGUACAGUGAACUCGGAGCAUCUCUUGUGCAUGUGUGAUGCUGUUUGGACUCGGUUACCGGUAUAUACCCUCAAUCUCAACUCUGUGGAUUUGGAUUUACAAUUUUAAGUAUCCAGAUGAACUGAAAUAUAUGUUCUGGUGAAUUUGGAAAAUAUGCCCAAAAGGUCCAAUCACUAUAAACUACAGUAAAUAUGUUGGACACUGGCAAUCUCAGGUUCUAAGCCAUUGUAUAAAAGGACAAUCCAUCGCAUUUCUAUUAAUACUUUUGUGUGCUGUUCUCUGAUCUGAGUUGAUGAUUUUUUUGUCCUUUUUUGUCUUUUGUCAGCAUGGCAUUGAGUAUCAUUGAGGGGCUUUUUUCUAAACAUUGGCUAUGCAGAUUAAAAGAUGAGCACUAUAAGGAAAGGCGUAAUAACGCCUCAGUAGCACUUCAUGGACACAUUGAUAUCAUAAUUAAAAACAUUUCUCUCCCUCUCCUCCCCCACUUUGAGAAAGAAUCAAAGAGUCAAAAGUGCUCCUGCGGGCAGUUGGUUAAUUCUAAAAUGUCCAUUCACAAAUAACAUCUUUUUCAUGAAUGUCUAAGUAAAUAAGUGAGUAAAUAGACACAUACUGUUCUGAUGAGAGUAUGCUUUUCGGCCAAAGAUAUCUGACUGCAUAUCUGACCCAAGGGAUUAUGACAUUACUUAGAAUUUGAUGGUGGUUGUAAGCAUUCAUGAAAAAGAUGACAUUUCUGAACAGGCCACAUUAAUUAAUGUGUUACAGUACACUGAUAAUUUCAGGUUUUCUGUUUAAUUUCUGUUUAAUCAUACGAUUAUAUUGUCAAGAUUUUGGUGUUUUAUUAUCGUUUGACUGCAUGUUUGUCCAGCUGAUGAAAUAUUAAUAAAAGAAAUGUUUUGAA